AUUGAACGCUGGCGGCAGGCUUAACACAUGCAAGUCGAACGAGUGGCGGACGGGUGAGUAAUGCUUGGGACUCUGGCUUAUGGAGGGGGAUCACGACGGGAAACUGUCGCUAAUACCGCGACCCAUAGGAUGAGCCCAAGUGGGAUUAGUUAGUUGGUGGGGUAAUGGCCUACCAAGCUGACGAUCUUUAGCUGGUCCGAGUGGAUGACCAGCCAAUCCGGGACGGAGGGACGGCCCGGAUGCCUACGUGAGGCAGACGUGGGGAAUAUGGCGCAUGUGGGGCAACCCUGACGCAGCCAUGCCGCUUGAAUGAAGAAGGCCUUCGGGUUGUAAAGUUCUUUCGGUAUUGAGGCGUUAAAUACAGAAGAAGCACCGGCUAACUCCGUGCCAGCAGCCGCGGUAAUAC
rnacentral:rRNA from 1 species